rnacentral:rRNA from 1 species
GAUGAACGCUGGCGGCGUGCCUAAUACAUGCAAGUCGAGCGAACGGACGAGAAGCUUGCUUCUCUGAUGUUAGCGGCGGACGGGUGAGUAACGCGUGGAUAACCUACCUAUAAGACUGGGAUAACUUCGGGAAACCGGAGCUAAUACCGGAUAAUAUUUUGAACCGCAUGGUUCAAAAGUGAAAGACGGUCUUGCUGUCACUUAUAGAUGGAUCCGCGCUGCAUUAGCUAGUUGGUAAGGUAACGGCUUACCAAGGCAACGAUGCAUAGCCGACCUGAGAGGGUGAUCGGCCACACUGGAACUGAGACACGGUCCAGACUCCUACGGGAGGCAGCAGUAGGGAAUCUUCCGCAAUGGGCGAAAGCCUGACGGAGUAACGCCGCGUGAGUGAUGAAGGUCUUCGGAUCGUAAAACUCUGUUAUUAGGGAAGAACAUAUGUGUAAGUAACUGUGCACAUCUUGACGGUACCUAAUCAGAAAGCCACGGCUAACUACGUG